AAUCCUAUUAUCUGGGUGCUAGUGC
rnacentral:miRNA from 15 species